UCCCUCAUUGAUCCUGUCUGGGUAAGUUGUCCCACUCUCCAACAAUCCAAACAUAACUAACAUUGCUACAAAUUGUAAGAGCUUCAAAGAAAACUUUACCUUCAAGCACUGUAAGCAUUCAGCCUCCAUCCCGCUUUAUCUUCCAUCUCAGAAGAUCCUACAACUUGUUGAAAGAGCAAAUUUUAUGAUUCAUCUGUUGUUGAAACACAAAUUGUUGAUCCAAUUGAAUACUCAGGAGACAAAGAUGACUUGACAAUGAAAGAAAUGUUGUCUCUACUUGUCUUGUUGCCUCUCUAAUUUUCCCUUAAUGAUUCUAAGGAGUUUUCAGAGGUGCAAGCUGCUACACCUUGUGAUCCCACGCAUUUGCCUUCCAUAUCCUGUAAUUGUCUUCCACAUUCCCAACAUCCCUAAGAGCCUAUUAUCCUUGAUCCUCCUAUUAAAGUGUCCUUUCAACUUGGUAAUUUUCAUGGUCAACACUUCACCAGAUUUAUUGCACAUGUCCCCUUGACCCAUUCCCUAUCUCAAGAAAUAUGAACCUACUGUUGUAUAUCUUUUUGAUGUAUGUAAGCACAUGAAUAUUGAUCAUGUUCUCAGAGUUGGGAACAUUUCACUUUGUCAAGGUUUAUUGGAGCCUCUUGUGUUGUUUCUCAUAUUUCUCACCUUGUCAGGGUGAGAUUGCAGCCAUAUGGGAAAUCAAUGUUAUUGCCACCUCUAAAGGCAAUUUCCAAGAUUUUCUUGUUGAGUGGAAAGGUCAUCCCAAGUCUGCUCUUGUUUGGAUCGGUGAAGGUUUGUUGCACACCUUGAAUCCCAAACUGUUAGCUGGCCAUUUGCAUUUUAACUCAUCGGAGUUGAGUUAUUUGCCAGUUGAGCAGAAUGAUUCAUGAGUCUCUAAGCCUAAUUAAGAAGGCUGACUAUAAAAUAUGUUUUAAGGUAGAUUUGUUUCUACUUUUCUACUUGGGAAAUAGAAAUUUUUAAGAUUUGAGUUAUUUAAUUUUUCCAAACUUUGAAAUUUUUGAUUUAUUUUCCUAUUAGUAGCUUUUCUUUUUAGUAAAGGUCAAAAAGUUUGCUAAGCAACUUUUGGGAAUAUUGGAAUUGAUAAUUUCCUUGUGAAUUUAUUUACAUUUCUAUGCAGUAUUUUUCUUUUGUCCCUUAUUUUUUGUCUGCUUAAUGUUCUUCUUUUCUUCCUUCAUCUGUCUUUUAUUCUGACAUUCUCUUCUCCAUAAUUUCCCCUAUUUCUCUAUAUUAUAGGAUAAUUAUGGUUCUAUCAUUAGUUAUCCUAUAUCAGAUAAGGCAAGUGAAAAAAUAAUUAACACUCCAUGAAAAAUCUCUGUUUGAGUGAAAUUCCUUUUUUACAAGAGAGGAAAUCAUUCAUAACUGCUUCCUCUAUUAAUAAACAUGAAUGCAUAUUUAACUGACAAUUUCAAGAAUGAAUAGUAUAGAUAAGGCGUCAUAUUCUUAUCCAGCAUUUUCUCUGUGGCAGUUCAUGACAGAGAUGAAAGAGACAGCUUUUAUCAUGCAGAAUGUCUCCAAUAGGUAAAACCGGGUCAUUUGGAUGCCUCUCAAUCCAACUUAGCCCAGACCUAGUUAACUUGGUUGCAUGGCUCGCUUCUUAUAUUUUCUGUAAGGAGUCUGAUUGUUAUGGAUGAACUUGGGAUGGCUACUUCUUCAUCUGAUGGUUUUUCAAUUGCAUGGAGCUGCUGCGAGCGUCUAUUAUCACUCAAAGCGUAACCAUCUUAUUUUAGCCCACACUACAAUUUUUAGCUGCACAUGAUGAGCUGC